rnacentral:rRNA from 1 species
CUCAAAUUUGAAAUCUGGCCCUUGGGUCCGAAUUGUAAUUUGUAGAGGAUGAUUUUGGUGCGGUACCUCCUGAGUUCCUUGGAAUAGGACACCUUAGAGGGUGAGAGUCCCGUUCAGUUGGAUACCUAGCCUUUGUAAAUCUCCUUCGACGAGUCGAGUAGUUUGGGAAUGCUGCUCUAAAUGGGAGGUAAAUUUCUUCUAAAGCUAAAUACUGGCCAGAGACCGAUAGCGCACAAGUAGAGUGAUCGAAAGAUGAAAAGCACUUUGAAAAGAGGGUUAAAUAGCACGUGAAAUUGUUGAAAGGGAAGGAUUUAUGACCAGACUUUUUCUGGGCAGAUCAUCCGGUGUUCUCACCGGUGCACUUUGCCCAGUUUAGGCCAGCAUCGAUUUCCGGAGGGGGAUAAAAGCUUUAGGAAUGUGGCUCCCUCGGGAGUGUUAUAGCCUAUUGUAUAAUACCUUUCUGGGGAUCGAGGUACGCGCUUCUGCAAGGAUGCUGGCGUAAUGGUUAUCAAUCACCCGUCUUGAAACACGGACCAAGGAGUCGAACAUUUGUGCGAGUGUUUGGGUGUUAAACCCUCACGCGUAAUGAAAGUGAACGGAGGUAAGAGCCCUUACGGGUGCAUUAUCGACCGAUCCUGAAGUUUUCGGAUGGAUUUGAGUAGGAGCAUAAAUGUUCGGACCCGAAAGAUGGUGAACUAUGCGUGGAUAGGGUGAAGCCAGAGGAAACUCUGGUGGAGGCUCGCAGCGGUUCUGACGUGCAAAUCGAUCGUCAAAUCUGCGCAUGGGG